rnacentral:antisense_RNA from 1 species
AGAAAGGAGGAAGAGGCAGGCACAAGACAAAAUGAAUCUCUCCGCUGUGCACAUGGAGCCUUAGCUCUGAUUCCAGUUGAGCAAAAUUAUGAAGAAGAUGAUUCCCCAUAUGGAGGACAGAUAAACACCCUGCGGCGAGUCACUCACUCCCGAAAGGCCCUCUGAAGGAUCGCGCAUGUCCUGACUGCACAGCCUGCUCCUGACAAUGCUCUCAAAGCCACGGUUGUAAUAGAAAGUGGAAAAUUAAAGCAGAUCCGACAAGAGAAUCCUGAGAUUGAGAAGAGGGAGAAUACUUUAAAGAGGAGCCCCUCCUACUACAGAAACCUCAGUGUAACAGCAGGAAUGACCCUGUGCCUCCAAACAUGUGGUUUAAGAGGCAGAUCUAACAUGACUCUUCAAAAACAAGCCCAGGGAAAAGAGAAGAUGACAACAUGUAACCAGCAGCCAUCUUAGAAUGCAGGGGGCAGCUACAGUGCCACCUCUGCAGGCGGAUUUACCAGUUUAAAUAGAUGGUUCUCAAAACUGCAGGCAACUUU